GCUCAUUUUGGUAGCCUACAUACUAAUUGGAAUGGUACAGGGAAGAUUAAACAUGGCCUCUGAGCAAGGAUGACCCACAAAGUCAUGAAGCGGUCAGUUUUUUU
ensembl:snRNA U6 U6 spliceosomal RNA